UACAGAGGGGGCAAGCGUUGUUCAGAAUUACUGGGCGUAAAGGGCGCGUAGGCGGCCCGCUAAGUCGAACGUGAAAUCCCUGGGCUCAACCCAGGAACUGCGUCCGAUACUGGCGGGCUUGAAUCCGGGAGAGGGAUGCGGAAUUCCAGGUGUAGCGGUGAAAUGCGUAGAUAUCUGGAGGAACACCGGUGGCGAAGGCGGCAUCCUGGACCGGCAUUGACGCUGAGGCGCGAAAGCUAGGGGAGCAAACAGG
rnacentral:rRNA from 1 species